UCAAAAUGGAAAGCUUAGCGUACCAACUGAAAGCUUCAUCUCUCCUACUCUUCACUAUUACACCUGCUCUCUCGCGAAGUGUUAUAUGUUUCUUUCAUGGAGGGUUAUAUCGAAGACAAGGAUCAAUUUUUGAUUCAGCCACCUUAAGUUACUAAGGUAGCUGACUGCUAUAUCCGAGGCCCAUCUUUGACAGCCAUUGAUCAUGUUCAGGUUCGAGAGUCUGACCCAGUUGCUCGGAACAGCUGCUGCCUUUUUCUUCUGCAACAUCCAGCGACCCCCUCGCCCCACUCACCAGUGCAUCGCUUAGAUGCCCUUCUCUUGUCGAGAUUACUCUUCAGAUUAAAGAAGGAGAUGCCCAUUCUUGUCAAGAUUGAUCUUCAGAUGAAUCAAAAAAUUGCCCAACUUUCUUUUGUCCCCUCCGAAGAAAAGAUCACUACCUUUCACCAUUAGCCCAGCAGGAGAGGAAUAUUGGCAAAUAAUUUUACCUUGCUUUCUUGUUCCUUUAUUGAUGUAAAUUUUAAUUUCUCUCUCUUUUUUUCCCUUCUCAAAGAUGCACAUGUAUGACCCUUGAUCCUCUCACACUGCAAGAUAAUAAGCUCAGUGAUGCCAAAAUAAACAUUCGCAUAUGGACGUGCUGUGGGUAAUGGACAGCAGCUCUAAUCCCUAUACUUCUUUCCAAAGAAGUUCGGGAAAUUUAUUAUCAUGCCAAUAUGCAUCUUUCUUUUUCGAUGGAAGGAUCUGCUCAUGAUCAUCAGAGUUGCCAAUAUGCAUUCAGUAGUCUGCACUAACAAAUGAGAAUCUGGAGACAAUCAUGGAGACUGCUAUUGUACAAGAAAACAUUAGAAGUUCAAACGAAGAACAAAUACAACCGAGAGCUGUCAUACAAUGUACUGAAGACGAGCACAAGUUGUCAUACAGCUGAAUAAGAAAAAUUUUACAGCAUAUAUGUUAAUCGAUUCUCAAUUUAUGACAAGUAAUAUGGCAGUCAAAUGGAUGAGGGUUACUUUUUUUUAACUCUACUUUAGUGAUUUGACCAGUGCUUUGGUCUUUAUGGUGACCAGUAUUAUCUUGUUUUUUGGGUAACAGAGUUUUAUCUUCAACAAGUUCUUUACCAUUCUGGAAAAUCCUUCCUCAAAGUUUCACACUGCAGCAGUAGCAUCAUCAAGCGUAUCUCCAAUCCCAUCAUGUUUCCCUUUGCUCUACUUGCCGCAUGGAGGAACUUCUUGUUGAGACCUGUGUCCUACAACAAGCUUUCAAUGGCCUCGGAUACAGGCUUAUCAUAGCGUAGAAUUGCUCAUUAAACUAAACUUCACGUACCGGACUAGGAGCUGAAGAUUCAUUCUCUCUCUCUCUAAAUCCUUCUGACCACUCUCGAUGUUCCAUGUUUUCUUUACUGAGUCGCAAUCAGUUCUGAAUCAGGUGAUGUUGCAGCAACUGAGAAAAGACCACUUGAAACACUUGGCACAUCCACCUGACACUGCUCCAUCACAACGAACCAAUAUCGAUCAGUUGUUCCACGGCCUUUAUGAGGAAGAUCCAAUCAGUUUGGUAACUGAAUAAAUGGUAACAAAGGGAUUCUUGAACACCUGCUGUUGGAGACAUCCGAAACCAAACAAUUCCAUUAAAUGCAGGUAGUAUAAAAUCUUUACAGCCUUGAGCCAAUGUUCUGGUUUCAAACAUUUGGUUAGUCUUUUCUGAGAACUUCAUUGUUAAAAUUAUGCAAGAGCCUUUUAUUGAACAUAACUGGAGCAGUAACAAUGAUGAUACUUAGCUGAAUAAGAAAGUAAAGAUGAUGUUCCCCUGCUUACCAAUAAUAAAUAGGAUUAAUUUUUAAAAGAUUUCUAAAAAUCAAUACAAGCGAGACUGUGUAAAUACUAUAAAGAUACAUGAAAGAGAUUAGAUGUACACAUUAGAAGAACCACCUACUUAUAGGCACCAUGCAGUGAACAAGCAAGCAUUCUACGCAGACUGACUGCACUCCAUGCAUCAAGUGGGACCAAGGCAGCAGGUGAAUCUUGUAUUUCUUUAUGUUAUAUAAAAAAAAGAUCAAUCAACAACAAUAAUGGCUAAAACUAUAGUUUUAGUGCGAAAUUGCAAAAAAAGGAUAGGGUAUGCUGCUCUUUGGGCUCCUUAAAACAAAACAAAUAAUUUAUUGAUGUUGCAACCUCAUUCUCACCAUAAUAUAAUCUCACCCAAAAAGAGUUCUUAAAAAACAAGGUAAAUAUAAAAGAACGACACAUUUACGAUCAUGCUUAUGUGGUACUGGAUAAAUAGACAAAAAGACCUUACCAAGCUUGCCCUGAUAAAGGCAGACAUAACAAGUCCUUUGAUCUCGAAGCAAUCCUCGCUCCAAUGGGUUUUCAUCUUGAUCAUAACCUGUGUUCAGUCACCUACUCUCUUUUUUUUUUUUUUAACCUUAGAUUGCCUUGGCAAUUUGCCUAUCAGAACUAUCUCCAUCAGAUGGUUGUCUAUCGCUGACCCAGGAUGUCAUCAUAAGCAUGAAAAGCCAAUUCAGACACCCUCAAUGCCAAAGAUAAACCUCAGUAUAUUGUUCUGAUAGUCACUAAAAUUCUGGUUAUGAUAGAAGGGUGGAAAGAAAACUCCUUGCGUUGCUCAAAUCACCCUUAUCAGUUUCAGUUCAGGUUGCUAUACCCAUUUACCUCCAUUGCAGUUGUGUCUCAACACUCCAAAACACUAAAAACAGUAAAAUGUGUGAGAAGAUUCUUCCAGUUGCAGGCUUUGAAAACUAAACCUUAUUUCCUAAGACACCUUAUUUACUACCUUAUCAAUUAAGCUAGGGAAGGUGAACAAUUAGAAGACUCCUGAUAAUUAAAAACACUAUAUCCUAAGCAAUCAUGUGGCAAUGGUAAUCUUUGACAAUGAAAAAAAUUGUUGUACCAAAUUAUUAUUAAUAUAUAUGGAACUUCUUUAGACUUUUCCCUUUUGUCAUAUGGAAAAAUAUGAUACUCUCCACCACCAUAAGAAUACUAAGAAAAUUAUUGGGAACUGGAGUAGAUAUCAAAAUGCAGCAGGAUUGGCCCAUUUGUCCUCAUACUCUUCAAGAACAUGAACAUGGACUGAUUAAUCUUGAGUGAACCUUUAAAGAAGAUCUGUAACCUCAAUCACUGAAACUUGAAGGUGACCUAAUUAAUCAGGACUGAGGACCCCAGGCCCCAGUUGUUACACUACCACUAAAUCUUUUGGUGUGAAUUUUCCAUUAAAUUCUCUAGAACAGUACACGAAGCCAUUGCGCAGUAGGCUAGAUGAAGUAGGGCAGCUCUUUAAAAAGAUUGCUUCAUGCGCAUCCAUUUUCAUGGUUACCUCAGAAGUAUAUGAAUCAUUUACAGUUCAAAUGCUCUGCACUACAUGAUAAUAUUACCCUAGGCACCAACUUUGCCAGAACCAGAGACUCUCAUCCUUUAGUUCACACUCACUAUGCUAAUGCUGUCCAUGUUUUCCAGAUUACUGGAUCGACCAUCCAUAUGAGUUAACAAUAUGAUCAAUGGUCCCACUAAUCACGAUUCGUGAAGUAUAAAGAGACACAGAUUCAGCAUCUAUGUCCUUUUAUAAGAUGAGAACCAUUCCUGGGCAAACCAAUUAAGUAAUGAGAAUCUGGAUCGUUGAUAACAUCAUAAAAGAAAACGUAACAUAUCCCCACCAGGCGAUCAGAGUAGCUUUGAAAGGUACGGAAAAACACAAAAUGCAGCAGAAUAGAGAUCCCUAUUUUUCAUUACUGGACUUCAUAUCGAAACAUAGGCUAUAUAAGGCUACACUCAUAUGGAUCUCCAAGCAUAUCCAAUCAAAUCUAUAUUGAAUAAUAAUUUACUAUAUCUAAAUUAUUUACACACUAAAAAUUAUGUAAUUUGGAGAUCCCUAAUCUAUGCAUCAAGUAAUUAAAAAUAUAUUUAUAGUUUUAUCUAGACUGUACAAUUUUUGAGCACUUUAUAUAAAAUUUCUUCAUAGAAGAAUAUAGUGUUCUUUUUGAACAAUAUUUGAUAUUUGUUAAUAUUUUACAAAUUAGUUUUAUUUUACUUGGUAAUGGUCAGUUCUGCCAAUUUACGGAAAUGCCUUUAAACAAUUGGAAUUGCACAACCAUCUAUUGAGUACAUGCUUGAAUGAAAAUAUUUGUUGAGAUCAAAAUCAUCCAUUGAAUACACAGUACCUCUAAAUCAGUCAUUUGCACUGCAUGAUGGGAUCACAAACAUUCAUUUGAUGCACUGUCAUGUUGAAUUGUAUGUGCCAAUCUAACUAAAACGUAUCAUUAUAAGAUUGCUGCUACCCAUCACACCUGCGAAAUAGCAAUGUAAGUUAUAUGCAAUCUAAAUAGAAUACAAAAACAAGAAAUAAAAAAGUUGGAAGCAUGCAGUGCUCGGAAAAAAUGCUCAUGCUUAGCAGCCGCCUGUCCGGGCAACUUUGUUGAUCCAGGAUGGCAAAACAAGUUUCAGUGCUUGGCUGGUGACAAAAAAAUUAAGACUUUGGUAAAAAGAAGAAAUGCCAUCAUGAAACUAAGAAAACACACAUUACAGAGAGACUUUGUGUUGAUAAAUGCAUCUACAUAAUAGAACAGAAGCAAAGCACAUAGGCUCGUGACAGCAUUACAUAUUAACAUCACGAGUGCUAGCACAUAUAAA